rnacentral:tRNA from 1 species
UUAAUUGAAGCCAAAGGGGAGAGGCACCUUAAUGUUAAUAAGGUUAAUGAUUUUUUAAGUCCAAUUAAG